UACGUAGGCAGCAAGCGUUGUUCGGAAUUACUGGGCGUAAAGAGUGUGUAGGCGGUGCUCUAAGUUCGGUGUGAAAUCUCCCGGCUCAACUGGGAGGGUGCGCCGGAAACUGGAAUGCUUGAGCGUGGGAGAGGAAAGCGGAAUUCCUGGUGUAGCGGUGGAAUGCGCAGAUAUCAGGAAGAACACCAACGGCGAAGGCAGCUCGCUGGGACGGUACUGACGCUGAGGUGCGAAAGCGUGGGGAGCAAACAGG
rnacentral:rRNA from 1 species